UACGAAGGGGGCUAGCGUUGCUCGGAAUCACUGGGCGUAAAGGGUGCGUAGGCGGGUUUUUAAGUCAGGGGUGAAAUCCUGGAGCUCAACUCCAGAACUGCCUUUGAUACUGAAGAUCUUGAGUCCGGGAGAGGUGAGUGGAACUGCGAGUGUAGAGGUGAAAUUCGUAGAUAUUCGCAAGAACACCCGUGGCGAAGGCGGCUCUCUGGUACGUGACUGACGCUGAGACGCGAAAGCGUGGGGAGCAAACAGG
rnacentral:rRNA from 1 species